UUUCCGUAGGUGAACCUGCGGAAGGAUCAUUCAUAAUAAGUGUUUUAUGGCACUUUUUUAAAUCCAUAUCCACCUUGUGUGCAAUGUCAGGGUUGAUUUUUCUCUCGAGAGAAUCAGCCCCAAACAUCAACUAUAUCUCAACUCUUUGUCUGAAAAAUAUUAUGGAUAAAACAAUUCAAAAUACAACUUUCAACAACGGAUCUCUUGGCUCUC
rnacentral:misc_RNA from 1 species